AGAGUUUGAUCCUGGCUCAGGAUGAACGCUAGCGGCAGGCUUAACACAUGCAAGUCGAACGGUAAGGUCUCUUCGGAGAUACACGAGUGGCGAACGGGUGCGUAACGCGUAUGCAACCUACCUUUAACAGAGAGAUAGCCCCGAGAAAUUGGGAUUAAUAUCACAUAAUAUCAUAAAGCAACCUUGUUUAAUGAUUAAAGCUCCGGCGGUUAAAGAUGGGCAUGCGUAGCAUUAGCUAGUUGGUAAGGUAACGGCUUACCAAGGCAACGAUGCUUAGGGGUUCUGAGAGGAUUAUCCCCCACACUGGUACUGAGACACGGACCAGACUCCUACGGGAGGCAGCAGUGAGGAAUAUUGGGCAAUGGACGCAAGUCUGACCCAGCCAUGCCGCGUGCAGGACGACGGCCCUAUGGGUUGUAAACUGCUUUUAUAUACCAAGAAACCCCCCGACGUGUUGGGGGCUGACGGUAGUAUAUGAAUAAGAUCGCUAACU
rnacentral:rRNA from 1 species